GAUGAACGCUGGCGGCGUGCCUAAUACAUGCAAGUCGAGCGAACGGACGAGAAGCUUGCUUCUCUGAUGUUAGCGGCGGACGGGUGAGUAACACGUGGAUAACCUACCUAUAAGACUGGGAUAACUUCGGGAAACCGGAGCUAAUACCGGAUAAUAUUUUGAACCGCAUGGUUCAAAAGUGAAAGACGGUCUUGCUGUCACUUAUAGAUGGAUCCGCGCUGCAUUAGCUAGUUGGUAAGGUAACGGCUUACCAAGGCAACGAUGCAUAGCCGACCUGAGAGGGUGAUCGGCCACACUGGAACUGAGACACGGUCCAGACUCCUACGGGAGGCAGCAGUAGGGAAUCUUCCGCAAUGGGCGAAAGCCUGACGGAGCAACGCCGCGUGAGUGAUGAAGGUCUUCGGAUCGUAAAACUCUGUUAUUAGGGAAGAACAUAUGUGUAAGUAACUGUGCACAUCUUGACGGUACCUAAUCAGAAAGCCACGGCUAACUACGUGCCAGCAGCCGCGGUAAUACGUAGGUGGCAAGCGUUAUCCGGAAUUAUUGGGCGUAAAGCGCGCGUAGGCGGUUUUUUAAGUCUGAUGUGAAAGCCCACGGCUCAACCGUGGAGGGUCAUUGGAAACUGGAAAACUUGAGUGCAGAAGAGGAAAGUGGAAUUCCAUGUGUAGCGGUGAAAUGCGCAGAGAUAUGAAGGAACACCAGUGGCGAAGGCGACUUUCUGGUCUGUAACUGGCGCUGAUGUGCGAAAGCGUGGGGAUCAAACAGGAUUAGAUACCCUGGUAGUCCACGCCGUAAACGAUGAGUGCUAAGUGUUAGGGGGUUUCCGCCCCUUAGUGCUGCAGCUAACGCAUUAAGCACUCCGCCUGGGGAGUACGACCGCAAGGUUGAAACUCAAAGGAAUUGACGGGGACCCGCACAAGCGGUGGAGCAUGUGGUUUAAUUCGAAGCAACGCGAAGAACCUUACCAAAUCUUGACAUCCUUUGACAACUCUAGAGAUAGAGCCUUCCCCUUCGGGGGACAAAGUGACAGGUGGUGCAUGGUUGUCGUCAGCUCGUGUCGUGAGAUGUUGGGUUAAGUCCCGCAACGAGCGCAACCCUUAAGCUUAGUUGCCAUCAUUAAGUUGGGCACUCUAAGUUGACUGCCGGUGACAAACCGGAGGAAGGUGGGGAUGACGUCAAAUCAUCAUGCCCCUUAUGAUUUGGGCUACACACGUGCUACAAUGGACAAUACAAAGGGCAGCGAAACCGCGAGGUCAAGCAAAUCCCAUAAAGUUGUUCUCAGUUCGGAUUGUAGUCUGCAACUCGACUACAUGAAGCUGGAAUCGCUAGUAAUCGUAGAUCAGCAUGCUACGGUGAAUACGUUCCCGGGUCU
rnacentral:rRNA from 1 species